AUAAGAUAUAUAUCUGGAGGUAAAUUGUUUACUGAGAUGAUAUUUAUUAGAAUAACUACUAGGUUAAAAAUACUUCACAGUUUUUAGCCUUCUGUCACAGAUGAGUAUGUUAUGUUUCCAAAGUUAUAGAGCAUUUGAGUAAGUAAUUUUCUUAUCUUGAAUUAGAUACAAUUUGAUUCCAAAUACAAAGUUCAGGUACAAGAAAUAAAACAUUUUUACUAUUUUUUCAGGUAUUUGAACUUUUUUCUAUAGAUUCCCAAAUGACAAGUGACUUUUCUUUGUUAUUUCUUCUCUUUCUUACCUAUCCAUCUUAACCCCGUUUAAGAACAAUGACAAACUUCAGGAUGAUAGUGAGAUGCUUCCAAAAAAGCUGUUACUGACUGAAUUUAGAUCACUGGUGAUUAAAAACUCUACUUCCAGAAAUCCAUCUGGCAUAAAUGAUGAUUAUGGUCAACUAAAAAAUUUCAAGAAAUUCAGAAAGGUCACAUA
rnacentral:sRNA from 1 species